rnacentral:rRNA from 1 species
AUUGAACGCUGGUGGCAGGCCUAACACAUGCAAGUCGAGCGGGGUUUUCGGACCUAGCGGCGGACGGGUGAGUAAUGCGUAGGAAGCUACCCGGUAGAGGGGGAUACCAGUUGGAAACGACUGUUAAUACCGCAUAAUGUCUACGGACCAAAGUGUGGGACCUUCGGGCCACAUGCUAUCGGAUGCGCCUACGUGGGAUUAGCUAGUUGGUGAGGUAAUGGCUCACCAAGGCGACGAUCCCUAGCUGGUUUGAGAGGAUGAUCAGCCACACUGGAACUGAGACACGGUCCAGACUCCUACGGGAGGCAGCAGUGGGGAAUAUUGGACAAUGGGCGCAAGCCUGAUCCAGCCAUGCCGCGUGUGUGAAGAAGGCCUUCGGGUUGUAAAGCACUUUCAGUAGGGAGGAAGCGUUGUGUGUUAAUAGUACACAGCGUUGACGUUACCUACAGAAGAAGCACCGGCUAACUCUGUGCCAGCCGCCGCAGUAAGAC